UACGUAGGGGGCAAGCGUUGUCCGGAUUUAUUGGGCGUAAAGAGCGUGUAGGCGGCUGGGUAGGUCCGUUGUGAAAACUCGAGGCUCAACCUCGAGACGCCGAUGGAAACCCUCCAGCUAGAGUCCGGAAGAGGAGAGUGGAAUUCCUGGUGUAGCGGUGAAAUGCGCAGAUAUCAGGAAGAACACCCGUGGCUAAGGCGGCUCUCUAGUACGGUACUGACGCUGAGACGCGAGAGCGUGGGGAGCGAACAGG
rnacentral:rRNA from 1 species